ensembl:lncRNA
CUCCUGGCAUGGGCUCUAGGGGUUGGGCAGACUAAAACAAGUUCUAUUGAGGGUGAAGGGCAAGGUCCACCCAUUAAUAGAGGCCUCGGCCUACCCAGAGGGGAGGUGGGAUAGCUGCUUUGGCUUUCAAGCAUCAGAGCACAAUUGCUGAGCUAAGGCUGUGUGUGGGUAGAAAUCAGCGAAGAGAUUUGCUGGCACAUGAUCACAGGAGGGGAGGGAACUGGAAGGGGUUGCCUCUGAGUCUUGCUCUUGUUCCCAGAAGCACUUACAACCAAGACCGAGGGCCUGAACGUGAUUCCCAGGAUACUCUGUGGGGAAGGAGAGAAGACUUCCAUAGGCUGCCUUCUGACCUCCAUAUAUACACUGUGACAUCCACGCAGACACAAACGCACACACAAGUAUAGAAACGCAAUAGUUCUUUUACAUUUUUAACUAAAAGUAAAAGCAAAACAAUUUAAAACUUUCUUUUAUGACUGACUGGGAUCCUGAAGGUGAACUGGAUGCUGCGACAGACGGAACCCAUGUCUGAAUCUGUGAUAAUGUUUGGUGCCUCAUCCGACACCUGUGGCGAUUCUUCUCUCAGCCUUUGCAUUUCAGUUAUCCUCUCUCUUGCCCUUGGCAGGGAGCCAUUCCUUUUGUCAUCUUGCGUUUACCAGCAAGGCCAAAGAGACUGGAAGAGAGCUGUUUUGAACUUUCUGUGUAGACCAGAUUGGCUUUGAACUCAGAUCCACCCGGCUCUCUCUAGUGCUGAGAUGAAAUUUGUGAGCCACAAUGCCUGGCUAACUUCUAAACUUAUUGUAAGCUACAUCUUAGAUCAAUGCUAAAAAGGGAAAGAUUUUUAGCAACUUAGAGCCACCAAAACUCAGUAUCUUCCCUUUGUAAGGAAAUCUGAUUGCUAAAUCAAGCAAGUGGUUAGUUAUUGCAUUCAUUUCCAGCACUGGGGAGGCAGAGUUAGACAUCUGUUGGGAGAUGGUUUUGUGCACAUGGUAUUCAGAUGGCAUUGGUUACUGCGGUGGUUUAAAUAUUCUUGGCACUGUUGGGAAGCGUGGCCUUCUUAGAGUAGGUGUGGCCUUGUUGGAGGAAGUGUGUUACUGUGGGGAUGGGCUUUGAGAGCUUCUUCCUAGCUUCCUGAGGAUGCCAGUAUCCCUCUGUUUACCUUCAGAACAAGAUAAUAGGACUCUUUCCUCCUCCAGUGCCAUGCCUGCCUGGAUGCUGCCAUGCUUCCUGCCAUGAUGAAAAUGGACUGAACUUCUGAACCAGUAAACCAGCUCCAUUUAAAUGUUGUCCUUUGUAAGAGUUACCUUGGUCAUUGUGUCUCUUUACAGCGAUGAAACCCUAAGACAGUUAGUUGCAGUCUGGACAUUGGUGUUGUUAUUAUCCUUGGAGCAUCUCCUAUCUCAAUGUUGUGUAAAAAUUGUAUCCCAAUGCCUCUCGUUGGUUAAUAAAGAACUGAUUCAACCAAUAGCCAGGCAGGAGAGAGGAGGCAAAACUUCCAGGCCCAGCGAGAGGAUCUCUGAUUGAGACUAGAAAGAGAGGAGAUUUGCCAUGAGGACAUCGAUGAAGAAGGAGGCCAAGGUUAGACCAAGCUGGUAGGUAACAGGACAUGCAGCUGGAAAGUAGGCUGUGAAGUAGGCCAGGCCAGCACAGUCAGGUUAGAAUAGCUCAGACGUUUUAAAUAUUAUUCCAUGGUCUCCAUGUCAUUUAUUUGGGAAACAAAAGGGGUAAUAGAAAAGUGACCUCAAAUUUAUGUUACUAAGAUCUCUGUGAGUUCAAGAUCAGCCUGGUCAGGGCUGGAGAGAUGGCUCAGUGGUUAAGAGCACUGACUGCUCUUCCAGAGGUCCUGAGUUCAAUUCCCAGCAACCACAUGGUGGCUCACAAACAUCUGUAAUGGGAAUGGGACCUGAUGCCCUCUUCUGGUGUGUCUGAAGACAGUCACAGUGUACUCAGAUAAAUAAAAAUAAGUAAAUCUUUAAAAAAAAAUCAGCCUGGUCUAUAAAGUGAGCUCCAGGAAAUCCACAG